rnacentral:tRNA from 1 species
UGGGCUAGUAGCUCAGCUUGGUAGAGUGUCGCCUUGGCAUGGCGGAGGCCUCGGGUUCAACUCCCGACUAGUCCAU